ACGUCAAGUCCUCAUGGCCCUUAUGGGCUGGGCUACACACGUGCUACAAUGGCGGUGACAGAGGGAAGCGACGGGGCGACCCUGAGCUGAUCCCCAAAAGCCGUCUUAGUGCGGAUUGCACGCUGCAACUCGCGUGCAUGAAGGCGGAAUCGCUAGUAAUCGCGGAUCAGCAUGCCGCGGUGAAUACGUUCCCGGGCCUU
rnacentral:rRNA from 1 species